AUGAAGCUGGAAUUGCUAGUAAUGCGGGUCAGCAUACUGCCGUGAAUACGUUCCCGGGCCUUGUACACACCGCCCGUCACACCAUGAGAGUUGGAAAUACCCGAAGCCUGUGAGCUAACAGUAAUGAGGCAGCAGUCGAAGGUAGAGCCAAUGAUUGGGUGAAGUCGUAACAAGGUACC
rnacentral:rRNA from 1 species